GCUCUUGUUUUGCUCUCAUCUCUGAACUCAUGCCUCCCGUGGACUCCGUUUUGACCACAUGUAGCCACACAAUGGGAAGAAGCACAAACCUCAAACUCAAGCCCUGGUUCGACGCGCUUCAGGUAGUCGAGUGGAUGCACGACCUUGGCUUUGAAGGGAGAGCCUGGCACGUGGAUUUCGGAAAAGAGGAUGCUGAUGAUGUAUUCGCCCGGUCUCAUGGGCAGGUCGAGGAACAUCGUUGGGGGGGGCUCUCCUCCCAUGUGGAAGCAGUCACCAUGAAUGGCAAGAUGCCCCCCCCCCAUCAUAAUAUACAAGCAGGGCCGUUUUCACACUACUAACCUGCUUCCGUGAUGUUGCGAAAAUCUAGUCACACAAAAAGCACGGAAGAUAGCGUCUUCUCGCGAGAGUUUUGCACGACAUUAGUGUUGAUCUCUCUCACCAUUUCCUUUGGAGUAGCCAAAUCUUUUCUAGAGAAUCUUUGCAUCUCUACAAGGAAGUCUUUGCCCGUAACUUAGCACACAAAGCCUCUAUUCUGCCAGUCCACAGGAGCAGCCCUUCCUCAAAUCCUUUUGAAGCUCAAAUCUCUUACACUCAUAUACUUUAUUAGGAAUACUGCAAUAUUAGGACACUGCAAGCUGCCCCCUUGGCAUAUCCCCAUCUUAUUUAAUGUCAGGCUCUGGGGCACUUUGAUUUCCCUUUCUUCUCGGUCCCUUGCACCUUAGAGACAGCAGCGGCCGCUCCUCCCACCUGACCAACUCCAUCAAGGAGGCCAGCUCGCCCGGCUCCGAUGCCAACCUGGAGGCCAACCUGGAUGCGCCGGCGGGGUGUGUGCAUUGCCUGAAGGAUGCCCUGCUGCUCGAGCCUGGCAGCACAUUCACCAUCGAACAGCUCGACGAGGACCCCUCGGCGCCCUGGGCUUGCCCAAUGCGCCACCCGUGGCCCCGCUGGAGCUGGCGCUGCUUAGAGAUCAACUAGAUUUUCAAAGUAUGAGCUUCAGAGAGUCAAAGCUCCCUUGUCUGACCAAGGAAGCUUUGACUCUGAGAGUCUACACGAGACAUCUGACACGUGAAGAAGACAUGUCAGGAGAUGUAAUGUUAGCCGGGAAGGGCAGUUUAAAAAGACAGAGCUGGCAGCAGGGAAAGGCUGGAGCUGUAUGAAGGGGCUGUGAAAUGCCAGAAGGGAAACUUCAGCCCAUUAUCACCUCUCCAGGUCCAAGCCCGGUUCUGGAAGGCAGCUCCAGCCUGUUUCCAUUCCUCUCUGCCCUCUGGUUGCAAUCCCACACAGUUUUAGACUGGAGAGGUGAAAUUGACAGAGCCUUCAGGGAAGUGAAGAUGAAAUUAACAAUCCCUCUAAGGAGUGAUCUCUGCCAGCGCUGUCUUUUUAAACUACGUUUCUUGGCUAACAUUGCUUCUCCCUACACUUGACGAACAAGUGUCCCUUAUAUUUUCCCUUAUAUCCCUUAUAUUUUCAAAGGACUUGCGUUCAAGCAGGGUGUGAAAGGAUGUAUCAAUCCAAUUAAGGCCCUAAGGGCAAAUUCUGUCAGAAUAUUCAGUUUUGCAAACAAGAAAGCUCUGUAGUAUCAUGGGAUGGUAAGAUAGUACAUAUAGGGGGGUAUGGAUUUUGGGAAAGAAAGACCAAAAGACAGGGGUGAACAAUCUCUGCAGGUUCUCAAAAUCAAGCUGCCGUAAUCGAUUUUUAGGACAACAGACCCAUCACACCCUCCCUAGAAGUAUGAUGCUGUAAGGAAUUAGUCCCACCCAACCAGCCCUAGUAGUGGCGUAGUGUGGGUUGCCAGCACCCAGGGCAACUCCCGGCAGGAGGUGGCGCCCCUGACACCACCACAUGUGUGCACAAAGAGCAUGCGUGCUGCCAGAACUGCACGAUGACAUCCCUUCCGGGAAGGGACAUCAUCAUGCAGGGAGCGGCCACCUUCCUGGAAGCGCUCCCGCAAUUUGGGCCGCUCGCCUCCCCAUCCCUUACCUGGGAGCCCUCCGUGGCAGCCGCCUGUACCUCUGCUGCCAGCUUGGCAUGCUCCUCAGCCAGCAGCCACUGCAGGACGGCCAGCUCAGCGUCCAGCAAGCCGGCCGCCCCGUCGGUGUGGCAAGCUGCCAAAGCGCCACAGGCAGCCUCCCACAGACACAGCGUAGUCUCUUCUCGGCGCAGAGCUCCCUAAAAAUUAUGCAUCUGAGGUGACAGCUCCUCUGCCCCCCCCCGACGCUAUGCCACUGAGUGUCAUGUCUGUGUAUAUCCAUGCCAUGUUUGUUUGUUUAUUCUGUCACUGAUGCCACAGUGUAUUGAAUGUCUAAUGUCUAACCUGCUGUAUUCUCUCAUUAGCCAUGUUCUUUUCACAUUAUAACUGUUUUUCCUCCAGCCAGGAUGGGCCUCCUGUUAUCUCACAGCCUCUCUGAGCUAGAGACGACCUUGGAGACUCCAGGCGUUUGCUUUGGUUACUUUGCCCAGAUGCCGGGAACUCAGUACUGUGUACUCACUGCUUAGCCAUAACUAUAAUGGGUUCUCACAGAACCAGUAUACCCCUGCGCGCCAAAACGUAACCGUUGCUGGAACGCGGGAAAACUCAAGUAUAAUAUUGACCCGUUGUUUUGAAUUGUUACUUCUACCAAGCUCUGUGAUGGAGUUCAGACCUGAACUGUAAAAAUCCUGAAUAAAGCCUUUUCUAUUGGAA